AAGCCAUUAGCCCAACAAGUAUUAAAGGUAAUGCCUGCCCAGUGAGGGAAACCUUAAACGGCCGCGAUAACCCGUGCAAAGGUAGCGCAAUCACUUGUCUCCUAAAUAAAGACCUGUAUGAAUGGCCACAUGAGAAAGAAACUGUCUCUUGAAGACAGUCGGUGAAACUGAUCUACCUGUACAAAAGCAGGUAUACCAAAACAAGACAAAAAGACCCUGUGAAACUUUAAAUCUAACCCAAACACAUGGUACUAAUUUUAAGUUGGGGCAACUAAAGAGAAACAAAACCUCUAUACUACCACCAGACCAACCAGUCUAUUGGCCAAAACCAUAAGACCCAGUAUUACUGAUCAAUGGACCAAGCUACUCCAGGGAUAACAGCGCCACAUUCUUGAAGAGUUCUUAUCAACAAGAAUACCUACGACCUCGAUGUUGGACCAGGAUAUCCAAGUGGUGUAGAAGCUACUAAUGGUUCGUUUGUUCAACGAUUAAAAUCCUACGC
rnacentral:rRNA from 1 species